GACGAACGCUGGCGGCGUGCCUAAUACAUGCAAGUCGAACGCAGUGGGGACGGGUGAGUAACACGUGGGUAACCUCCCAUCAGACGGGAUAACACUUGGAAACAGGUGCUAAACCGAUACUGAUGGAUGGACCCGCGGUGCAUUAGCCAGUUGGUGAGGUAACGGCUCACCAAGGCCACGAUGCAUAGCCGACCGGAGAGGAUGAUCAGCAACACUGGGACUGAGACACGGCCCAGACUCCUACGGGAGGCAGCAGUGGGGAAUCUUCGACAAUGGGCGAAAGUCUGACAAAGCAACGCCGCGUGAAUGAAGAAGGUUUUCGGAUCGUAAAGCACUGUUGUUAGAGAAGCGGUAUCUGACGAAAAAGCCACGGCUAACUACGUGCCAGCAGCCGCGGUAAUAC
rnacentral:rRNA from 1 species